AGUGUGGUUAGAACGCAGGCAGGGAGGGGUGGAAACAAUGUCAGUCGCGGGAGUUGUCUGAGGGUUUGCACAGAGGAGUGAGGAGAUCCACCUCAGACUGAUGCCGUGAGACCAGACUGAAGGUGGAGGAGGCAGCAUGGAAAUGGAGACCAGUCAGAAGGCUGAGAGUCUAGGCAAGGUGAGGAUGGCUCAUCCCGGUGGUGGCUGUGAGGGAGGUAGGUACAGUGUGGCUCAAUUCUGGAUAUACUCUGACGGUAGAAAUGAAACAUACUGCUGUGUUAGGUGUAGGGCUUGCCAGAGAGAGGAGUGAAAUGACUCAAGAGCAUUUGGUCUGAGCACCUUGAAGCACGGAGCUCUACUUAGGGAGAUAAGAAUGGCUCAGGGGGAAGCAGAAGGACCUGGAGCUCUGUUUGUGGCACGUUGAGUCUGUGAUGCCUUCUCCAGAAAAACAGGGUUGUUGUGUAGGCAGCUGGAUGCGAGUCUGGAGUAUGGAGGGCUGGGCUGGGUCGGCAUGCACAUCUGAGAGUUGUCAGCACAGAUGGUUUUCAGGUGUCAGAAGUAGAUGAGAUUUCCUAGGGAGUAUGUGCAGGGCAGGGAGGAAGAGGGACAAAGACUGAGGCUUGGAAUUCUCCAACAUUUGAAAGUUGAGAAGAUAGGGAGAAACAAGCAUGGUGAGUGGGACAGGAAACAGGAGAGUGAACGAAUUGCAAAAGCGACAUUCCUAGCUCUGCCAACUGCUGCCAGCAGAGUGAUUCAGACCAGGGCUGGCUUCAGGUUGGAGAUGGCAGAGGUCAUUCGUGACUUUAAUGAGAAUAUUUUUGGUGGAUGAUGAGAACUUGAGUUCAAAAAAGCAUGAGUCAUAUUAGAUGUUAACACUGGAGUAAGCUGAGUGAGGGAAAACAAAUUCUCUGCACAAUUUUUACAAUUCUUCUGUAAAUCUAAAGGUAGCUUAAAAUCAAACUUCUAAAAAAUAAGUCACAUGAAAAAAUAGUAAUAAUAAUUAGCAGAACGGGAGCAGAAGAAGCAGAGAUGAGAUCACAGAAAUUUUUUCAUAAGGGUUCUUUGUAAAGGGCAGGAGAAACACGGAGUGGAUGCUGGAGGGACAGGAGCGGCCGAGGGGCGGUGAAGAUGGGGCACACAACAGCAUGUUUUCAUGCCCACGUAGAGGCUCCGUGGAAAGAAGAAGUGCUGACAAAGCACAGGAAGGGAAUGUGGCAGGCAUGAAGUCUGCUGGUCCGUAGAGGAGGUGAAGUCAUUGCAUAGAUGAGCAGCAGGGGAAAUGGACCCAGUAAACACAGGAGGUUUAACUGCUUAAGGUUCACAGUCACGAGUUUAGGAUGAGACCCAUCAUUAUGGUGGUGGGUCUUUGUCUAGCUGUGUUUACCUUCAUGGAUGCAAGUACAGAGUAGAUGGAGGGUUGGGUUUGGCUGGGGCUAGAUAUUGCCAAGUGGGCCAGAAGGAGAAAGAAAGACAUGAGGCAUGAGGAUGAUUAAACAGUGUGAUGGAACACGGUGCGUCAGGAGGGUGAGGAAGCCCUCCCAGGGCCCGGGAUGGUGGAGAGAAGGCGGGUUCAGUAAAGUGGAGUUUUAAAUGACUCAGAGGAUCAUUGGAGUGGAAGAUACUAGAGAAAGUGAGGUGGGAAGGUAGGGGUAACUGAUUGGAAAUGCUAAAUUCAUUUAAAAAUGGAUGUAGUUAUUGGUAAUGACAAGAUGCAGGUUUGGCCACGGGAGUGGGUGGUUGAGAUAGUUUGGCGGUGAGAUGGUGAAAGUUCCUGGAAAAUUAUCCGUGUGGAUAUGGAAAUUGCAAUUCGAAGCAGGGCAGGAGAAGCGGUGAAGAACACUGCCUGGCCAGCUGCAAGAUCAUAGGAAUUGACGACCAUGGCGAGAGGGAGUAGCAGCGGCAUAGUCAGAUUAUACCCUUGGGACAGUGGUGUGGAGGUGGUGGUGAGGACCAAGAAGUACCCGUGGGACACAGAGAGAAAGCCGCCAUCACUAAGAGGUCAGCAGGGCACAGGGUCCCUCUGUUUCAGUAGGGAUGCUUCAGGGAGUUCUUACUCCUCCCUGGGGAUGUCCCAAAACCUUCUGGGGCUUUUCUGAUUGACAUGGUGUUAGAAGAGUGCUGCUGCCUUUUAAUGGGCAGGGACUGCAGACGCUAAAUGACUUACGUGUGUCAGCUGUCCCUCCCCGGGGAAGUGCCCUCAGCUUGCAUGUCUUUCAGAGGCCCUGUUGAUUCUCACAGAGGUGAGAACAAUUCGUAGUUACUGAAGACUGACGGGUACCUCAUUUUACAUAUAAACACAAAGUGUGUUUGCUGGUUUUAAGGUGCACCAAAUGCUCCUGAAUGUGACCUCUGUUCUUUCCUUUCCUGUAUAUUUUGUGUGGAAAUGGCUGUGAUCUUAUUUCUCACAUCCAGACUUAAUCAUAAUAGUAAGGGAGACAGCUGACGACAUGUUUUCUAGGGUGUCAUGCCCACGUAUUUCCAUGGGGAAAUACACAUUUUUCUCCUAUGUAUGACAAGAGUGGAUUGGCCUUUUUAAAAAAUGCGUAUGUAAGUUACAAUCUGACUUUUUUAAAAUUGGAAAUUAUUAUAGAUUCACAGGAAGUUGCAAAUAUAGUGCAAAGAGAUCCCAUGUUCCUCUCACUCAUUUUCCCCAGUGGUGACAUCUUGCCUUGCUAGAGUACAAUAUUGAGUCAGCAACUGAAAUUGGUACAGUGUAUGUGUAUACUUCUAUGCCCUUGUAUCAAAUGUGUAGCUUUGUAUUAUCGCUGCCAGAAGACACAUCUUAUCAUUACAAGGAUUUCUCCCAUACAACCCCUUUCUGGUCACACCUCCCCUUUCUCCCUGUACCACCAUGCCUAACUCCUGGCAACUGCUAACUGUGUUCCAUCUCUAUAACUUUGUCAUUUCACCAAUGUUCUAUAAAUGGGGUCAUAUAGCAGGUGAGACCAUUUAUAUUUAAUGUAAUUAUUCAUAUGUUAGGACUUAAAUCUAUUUUUUUUGUCUUCUAUUUGUUCCCUCUGACUUUCAUUUCUGUUUUCUUUUGCCUGCCUUCCUAUGGAUACUUGAACAUUUUCUAGAAUUCCAUUUUGAUUGAUCUACAGUGUUUUUGAGUAUGGAUGUUUCAUACUCUCCCUGUAUGGAUGUUUCAGGGGCUGCUCUAGAUCUCACAUUCCAUAUAGAUAAGUUAUCAGUCUCCUGGUGUCAAUAUUUUACCAGUUUGAGGCACAUGUAGAAAUCUUACCCUCCCCUGUUUAAAAUACAAUUGUCUUAAAUAUUUCCUCUACACUCCUGGAGAACCACAUCAGACAAUGUUAUACUUUCCGCUUCAACUGUCAAACACAAUUUAGGAAACUCAAGAAGAGUAGCAGUUUAUUGCAGUUACCCUAUUUUAGCUGCUUCCUUCCUGAGGUUCCAAGAUUCCAUCUUUCAUCAUUUCCUUUCUGUUGAGCCAUUCCAUUCCUUUCCGUUAGCUAUUCUUUGAGGGUGGAUCUGCUGGCAACAAAUCCUGUUCGUUUCCUUUAUCUGAGAAUGUCUUGAUUUCUCCUUCAUUUGAGUUGACAGUUCUUUUCUUUCAGCACUUGAAAGAUAUUGUGCCGUCUCCCUCCAGCCUCCAUUGUUGCUGAUGAGAAUUCCACACCACCCAAAUUGUUUUUCUCUUACCGGUAUGGUGUCAUUUCUCUCUCAUUGCUGUCAAGAUUUUUUCUUUAUCUUUGGUGUUCAGAACUUUGACUGUCAUGUGUCUUGGUGUGGAUUUCUUUGGGCUUAUCCUGUUUGGCUGGCUCUGCUGCUUCAAUCUGUAGGUUUAUGUCUUUUGUUAAAUGUGAGAAAUUUCCGGCCAUUAUUUCUUUGAUCUCUUUUUCAACCACCCCCCACCUUUCUCCUCUCCUUGGACUCCCAUAACUGAAAUGUUAGAUCUUUUGUUACAGACCCGCAGGUCCCUAGGCUCUGUUCAAUUUUCCCCUUGUUCAGACUGGGUAAUUUCUAUUGUUCUGUCUUUAAGUUCAUUAAUUCUUGUUUUCUCCAUUUGGCUGUUGAGCUCAUCCACUGAGUUUUAAAUUUUUAGUUAUUAUAUUUUUCAGUUCUAAAAUUUCUGUUUAGUUCUCCAUUAUAUUUUCUAUUUCUUUGCUGAAAUUCUAUUUUCAUUUGUUUCAAGUCUGCUCUUUACUUUCUGACACAGGGUCUCACUCUGUCACCCAGGCUGGAGUGCAGCGGCACAAUCUCACUUCACUGCAGCCUCAACUUCCCAGGCUCAAGUGAUCCUCCAACCUCAGCUUCCCGAGUAGCUGGGACUCCAGGCAUGUGCCACCAUGCCCAGCUAAUUUUUGUAUUUUUUAUACAGAUGGGGUUUCACCAUGUUGCCUGGGCUGGUCUCAAACUCCUGGCUCAAGCUGAUCCACCUGCUCAGCCUCCCAAAGUGCUAUGAUUACAGGUGUGAGCCACUGUGCCCAGCCUCAAGAAUGUUCUUAAUUGCUCAGUGAAACAUCUUUCAUGUGGUUGAUCUACAGGGUCAGAUAAUUCCAACAUUCAUAUAAUCUCAGUGUUGGCAUCUGUUGACUGUACCUUGUCAUGUAAAUUGAGAUUUUUCUAAUUCUUGGCAUAAUGAGUGAUUUUUGUUUGUAUCCUGACAUUUGUGGCAUUAUGCUGUGAGUAUUUGGUCUUCUUUAACUGUUUUGGCUGGCUUCCUCUGACACCAGGCCAGUGGAGGAAAAGGGGGAUCACCUAGUUCCAGCCAAGUGGGGCUGGAAGUCCAUGCUGUCCACUUGGCCUUCCUUGGCCUCGUGGGGAGGUGUGGUGGGAGUCCAGUCUCCCCACUAGGCCUCCACUGAUACCAACUGUUGGGAAGAGGAGGAUACCUCAUUACCCCUCCCUGUGCAGCCUCCACUGACACUGCAGGGAUGGGGACCUUGUUGCAGCCAGGCAGGAGUACAAGUCCCAGGUCCCCACGCAGGCUUCUCCCAUAGCCCGGUGGGGGUGGGGAGGGUGGGGGAAGGAAAGGGGGAGGGGUGCCUCCUUACAGCAGGCAAUGGCCAAGGCCAAGGCUGCGUCCCCACCCACCUUUGCUAAUGGAGUCAGGCUGUGGUUUUUCUAUGGGGUUUGGCUGGGGAAAGGUACUUAAUUGUCCUCAUGUUUUCUGAUUUGCUGGGCUGCCUCUUUCCUGGGGCUUUGGCUAGAGAUAGGAGGCUUGAGUUCUCUUCUGUCUAUUCCUACUGGCACCUCUGGGUUGCUGGCUUUCCCAGCACUCAUUCCAGGUUAUAGGAGGGAAAAGAAAACUGGGGAAAUUUACAGCCAGGUCCUUCCCAGCCCCUGCCUUCUCCCCUCCACGGUUCCGACUCUUCUCAUGUUUGUUUUAUGAAUAACACCCAAGGCUUCUGGCUGUACUUAGCAGGAUGAAUAGGGAGAAGUGCUCUACUCCAAGUUUGUCUGGAACUGGAAGUAUCUGCAUGUGUGAAUUUUAUUCAGAAUAAUUAAGACGGAUGAAAGUGCUAUUUAAUAUUUGGUACAAAAAAGUAGUGUCAGGCCCAUUAGGCUUUGGCCAUUCAUUCUCAAGCCAGAAGGUGAAGGCAGCCUUGGAGAUGAGAUCUGCCAAGAGGUACUUUGUUGAGGACAGACUCUGCGACCUGCAGCACUGCAGGAGGAUGAGGAUGCUGUAGGGGGCUGGGACAGCCUAGGCUGUGCAAGGCCUGGCAGGUGGGAGCCCUAGGAUCCUCUAGAUUCUGCAGUUCCUUAAAAGGAAUGUUGGAUGGGUUCUGAGGAUCUUUUGUACGGACUGUGAAGUUCGGCCAUGUGUUGGGAUGUGGGGGAAGGAAAGAGCUGUGCAUUCUGUUGCACACAUGGGGGUGUCGAGGUGAGCCAAGGGGAUCCCCUUGGCAGUUCCUCAGUGGGAACUUACAGUGCUGACUUAGAACAUUGGUCAGUAUCUCCAGGACUAGGUGAGACCUACUUGACCAUAAUGUGUCAAAUAAACUCUUGCAUUUGGUGAGCUAAAAUGGUACUUCAUAUUUUCACAUCUGUGUUCUCAUCUUGUCCACUUCUGACAACCAGAGGUGGAUGGACAGGAAGAAAGAGAUGCAGGCAUACUCAGCACACCAUGGCGGCAUGGGGUGGGGCCUACCAUCACCCUGGAUGUGUGUCCUGGUGGGGCUCCAUGUUCCAGAGCCUUCCAGAAGCUUCUGCUUGAGGAUAUUAAAUCUCAUUGUGUGUCUGGAGGUGGGGGAUGGGGGUUCCUAUUCUAUUCUUCUUGGUAUUUCUCAAUCUUUUGAAGCUUCUUUAUUUCUGCGAAAUCUUGGUCAUUGAUUCUUUGAAUAUUUCUGUCCUUUCUUCUGUGAGACUCCGGGAUCCAGGUGCUGAGGCUUUCUCUGCUGCGCCUCUUCAUCUUCCUGGUACCUGCUCCAUCACUGUCCUUUCUGCAUGCCUUCCAAGCGAGUUCCCCCACCUCAUCUUCCAGCUCAUUAAUUCUGUUUUCCCUGCUAUGAAGGCCUUCGUUGUCUCCAUUACAUUUCCAUUCCCAGCAUUUUCUUAAGGGGUUUCUUUGAACUGCUUGUUCCUGCUUCAGGACAUUGCCCAGCCCUGCUACAGGGACUGAUGUGCCACGGGGUCCUGCUCCAGGCUCUGGGUCUCCUGAGCUGCCUGUCCCUGUGUCCUGCACCUGAGUCAGUGCUCCCCUUAGAGCUCUCUGCCUCGGAACAUGCUGGCCCAGGGUCUCAUUGGUGCCAUUUCUCACCCUCCUCCAACUGAAGCCUCAGGUUUGCCCACACCCUGAGUGCCGUCCCCGGCUUGGCGCCCCUGCCCCUCCCCAGCACAGCAUUUCCCCAUGGCCACGAGCUCCUCUCCCUGGGCUGUGCUCCUGGCCUGGGUGCAAGGGCUGGGAGGAACUCACUCUGCUGCUCCUGGAGCCACUUCUGUCCCACCUUAGUGGGGUGCUGGCAUUUGGGGAGGGCAGAAGCUCUGCUGUUUUCCUGGUGCUAUGAGCAGAGAGGCCCUCCUGGAGCCAUGAGGGAGAUGGUGAGUGCCCAGGGCUUUGCCUGGGUGCUGAGAAGUCCCCUUGAGACAUCCUUAGCAGGAAGUGAGUUCAUGAGGAGAAACCCAUGGGAGAGAUGGCAGCCUAUGUGUGGCACUGUCAGGCUGCCACUGCAUCCCUUGGGGGUGGCGGAUUCAUCCGACACAUCGAAGGCUCAUUCAGGACCAUCCAGCCUCGGGGGCUGCCCUGCCGCACAGGCUCAACUCAACCUGGGGUUGUGGGUGCCUCAGAGAAGACAGCAUCCUCCAGGCCAGAUCCACCAAAUUUCAAACCAAAACCUGAAUUGAAUGUCAAAGGGACAGGCUUGGCAGUGUGGGAGGCAUGCAUGGGGCUCAGUCGUCCUCCUCUGACCAUUCCUCCCCAAAGCUUCGUCCUGCCUCGACCUGAUCAUGUGUUUGUUUUUUUUGUUUGUUUUUAGUGGACAAAUCAUAAUUGCCUAUAUUUAUGGGGUACAAUGUGAUGCUUUGACAUAUGUAUACAAUGUGGAAUUAUUAAAUCAAGCUAAUGAACUUAGCCAUCACCUCACAUACUUACGUAUUAUGGUGAGAGCAAUGGAAACGUAAUCUCUGAGCAAUUUUGAAAUAGAGGUUACUAUCGGCCUUUCCUUGCCGGUGUUUCCCCCUCUGUGGAAUGGGGAGGGUGGUGCUGAUUUCAGCGGCACCUGCUUACAGGGUUAGCAGCUCAUGGAAAGCACCUGCAACUGUGGGUGCCUGGAAAAGUGAGCCACAAUCUCAUUUUCCCACCUCCUGCUGCUGACCGCCACCAAGGAACCUCAGGGGACAGUCAGACUUGGGAAAGCAUGGCAUCUUAGCCCUCACGCCGUCUGGUGGGUGGUUAGUGUCUUUAGUGUCCCCCAUCGCUCAAGUCAGCCCGGGGCACAACAGCCACACAAAAAGCUCUAUGGCCAUGAGGCGUGUGCUGUGACCCAUCCAGCCCUAGCAGAAACCCCAGGAUAUCAGAGUGCCUGGAUAACAGCCCCGCAGGGUGAGUGACUUGUCCAAGUCACACAGCAGCUCAGAGCCUGGAGUUAGCCCAGGCGCCUCCCCCAGGGUCCCCACCUCUCCCCACAAGCUCCACUGGGAUUCCCCUCCAGUGUCCCUGCUGUUCUUUCUGCAGGUGAGGGAGGUGAGGCACUGCAUGGACACAGGACUGCACUGCCCAGAGCCUGCGGGCCUCCUCAGGGUCUGGCCUAGGGUCCUGGGGCUGUAAGCAGAGGGUUUGAGGUAAGGCGUGGGGAGUCUAGGGCUGGUGAAUGGCCCGCUCGGGGGGUGCACCCACAAUGACUGUGCUGCUGACAGUUGUACGGAGCCUGGGGGACACGACUUCCUUCCCACUGCAGUGGUUGAGCUGCCAGGUAGCUUGACUGGGGCCUCAUGCUGGGCUCUGGCCUCCCUUGCUCCCAGGUCACAGCAGGCUUUUGACAACUCUAAUCCACAAAGGCUGAGACUAAGUGAGAUCUGUGUCUGCCAUGGGAGCUCUCAGGAUUCCCAAACAGUCCCAGAGUGGUUGGGACUGGGGGUGCAGCCCCCGAGGAGAGUAAUCCUCUUUCCGUCCAUCUCAGCCCCCAAGUCCAGCUGGCCGCUCAUGCAGGCACAGCCACAUGCUUCCUCAUGGCGCUGCUGGAGGGAGGGUCGGGUGCAGCACCUCUCAGCUCCUGUGGGGCUGCUCAGUGCCUCAGGGCCCAGAGGACUUGGCACAGCCACCAUCAGCCACUUUGCACAUGUCCAGGCAGACAAGCUUCAAGAGGCCCUCCCUGGCGGGUUAGCAGCAGGUGGGCCUCACAGUCCUGCCUGCACUCCAGCCUCCGGGGCCAACUGAUGGACAGGCUGAGCUCCGGUGUUCCCCAGCAGGGAACACCAGCUUGUCAAGUCUCCAGUUAAUUCCCGCUCUUGAUAAAGCCCGGGGUGCCCCCACGCUGGCCAGCAUGAGGGUCUCCAUGCAGCGUGCACAUGCCCGCACCCUGUGUCCCCCUCAGCCAGGUGCACCCUAUGGCCUCUGUGUUUCACAGGCCUUCUGCCCCCACCCCAGGCAGUGUGAUCCUGCCACAUGUCGGGUCCAGAUGACAUUAGCUGCUAAAAGGUUUGUAGUGAGUGCCCGCCUGGUGAGUGCUGUUUCAGCUUCAUCAGGGGGUAUCUUGAGAGCAAGGUGCAGACCAGAUUCCUCCUUGCAUCCUGAAGUGUAGCACACAAAUAUUCUCCAGUGGGGCCGCACCAAAGGCAGUUCACAGGCCCAUGGGGAAGUUGGUUAAGGUAUCGGCCCUCUGGCCUUCUCCUGCAUAAAGGCUCGCUCUGGCAAAGGCAGAUGUUCCAGCACAUCACAGCCACCACCACAUCCUCCCCACCAAAGCCUGGACAGAGGACAGCUUAGGGCACAAUAUUCUAGCCAAUCAACAGACCUCCAGUGGUGAUUUCCCAGGGAUAGCCCACUCUCAGCAUCUGUUAUGCAGAUUAACAAGCCACCAAUUCCACCUUUGAAAACUGAUUUCUAACCCUUGUAAAUAAAGCAAACUGGCCGAGCCUCUGGGGUGGAUGACACAGACAGAUGAGGUACCAGUGGCAGCCACUUUGCAGUGUGACUUUUCUUAGGAAACAAUGGCUGCAAGGCCAGAGUCUGAAUACUUAACUAGGCCACACGCCUCUGGGGUGUUACACCACACAGCCCAUAGGCAUGAUGUCAUUGCUGAAAUGUCACAGAGACCUUCGGUCAUAGGCAUCCUAGGGCCAUUCUAGUCUGGGCCUCACAGGAGGGGCUGUGGGUUGUGGUCACUCUGCCCACUGCUCCCUGACCUCCAGCCCGGGCCUGGCUCCUGAGCGUGAGCCCCGGGCCCCACUGCAGCCUGGAUUCUCCACCUGCCAUCCAGCUCAGGCUGGACACCUGACGACCAUCCUGGCAGCCUGCCUGCUUGCGGCUCCCCAGUCCUCACUCCUGCCUGCCAGCAGCGACUGAAGGUGUUGGCAUCUGUGACUUCGAUGGGGCCGGCAGGGUGGGCUUCCCCAGCCCUUUCUCUAUUCACACAGUCAGAGGGAACGCUGCAGCCCGUACCCUCGCCUGCUGUCAUGUCUGCAUCCUGCCUGCUCACACCCCUCGUGUAGGGGCACAAGAUCAACUGGGCCAUUACCUCCUCCAGAAGCUUCCACAGUGGCAGGGAAGAUGGGCUGGGAACCAGGCAGCCACAGGGGUGGGUGUGCAAGAAGCGUUCAGGGGAGCACUGGGGGCUGCACGGGAGCAAGUUGGGGGGCAAGUGGCUUCCCUGGGGUGACAGGGAUUUGGUAUUUUAGAUGCCUUGGCUGAGUGACCCUAAAGCCUCUGGCCUCUUUGACUCAGUCCUGGCCUGUAAAGUGGCGAUGACAAGCAAACCUCCUCAAGCUGCUGUGCUGGUGAAGGUGCUCAUAGGCACAGGCCUCAGCAUGUGGCCAGCAGCUGGGGAUCAGUCCUUGUCAGCUGCUGCUGUUCUUCUCAUGACCGCUAUCAUUGUUAGGGUAAGUUGGGGAAGGCCGGCUCUGUCUCUUCUUACAGUGGCAGAGGCCCUAACCUCUUCAUGCCUCAGUUUCUUCAUCUGGAAAAUGGUGCUAGUGCCACCCAUACUGCAGGAUUAAAUGUGUGAACUGGGGUGCAGUGCUUUCCUCCCACACAGUGUGGGUGCUGGCACCCUUGGUCUGCCUGGGAGCCAGGUUCAGGGGCACUUGUGCUGGGUACACUGGGCCAGGCAGAGCAUCACUGGGACUCGAGCAAGGGAAGGCCAUGGUCAGAAAUGUUUCACACGAUGCCUCUCCAGAAAGAAAAAGGGCAGCUCCUCCCAUCCAGAAGCUGGCCAGGCACUUACAGCUGGGUCCACUCUAUUAGACGUUAACCAUUGCACAGAAGACCAACCAAGGCCAAGGUCACUGAGACAUGAUGACAUGAGACAAAGCAAGGCCACUUCAUGAUGUGUCUCUGCCCAAAGUGAGGUCACUUGCUGUGCCACCCACAAAAUACCAAGCAACCACUCUUUCAGCCAAAGUAAGCAACUGCCACUUCUGUCCCCCUGACAGCCUGUCUACAUGCACCCCCUCUAUAGAUAGGAUUUAGCCAGAAACCCAGUCGUGGCAUUGACCCACUUUUUGCAAUAGCCAAUCUGAGCCAACCCCUGUGCUUAGAGUCCCCAAAAUCACCCAAACCCAGGGGUAGUUUCUUUCUAGCACACCACCCGGGGCCUGGACAGUGGCAGGCCUGCUCCGCCCUGCAGCUCAGCCCUCUCCAGGCAGGUGUGCCAGCCCUCAGAGGCCCCCUCUGCUUCCCACUGCUGCCCUUCCACAGGGCACAGCCUGUCCCUCCAAGAGACAAAUCCCUCGAAGUUUUAUAAACCAAGCGAAUUUAAUUCAGAGAAUAAGUUCUCUGGGUGAUGGAAUUGCUGGGAAGCCUGAUGGGACAGUGAUCAGCUCGGUCAACCAUGGCCGGAAGCCACCAUUGCUGCAAGGCUGAGGAGACAAUGGAGGGAAAUGAUAUUGCCAGGACCUGCACGUCAGGGCAUCGAGAGGGAGCCAGGCCACAGCAGGGGCUGCCCAGGGGAGCCAGAGCCCAAGAGGCAGAGAGAGGAGGGGAAGACACCCUGGCUUCUCCCCUUCCUCUCACCCUCUCGCCAACGCCUGCCAGGAAGCCACUUGGCAAGGGAGCCUGGGAGCUGUAGGUCUUUCGUGCAGAGCCCAGCAGAAGGACAACAGGGGCAAACUGAUAGCUGCCCAGCCCCCAGGCCCAGGGCGAGGUGUGUGCACCCCUGCCCCUGCCCCUGGCCCUGGCCCUGCCUCUGACCCUGCCCCUGGUCCUGGCCCUGCCCCUACCCCUGUCCCUGGCCCUGGCCCUGCCCUUGAAAGUCGACUCCUUCAACCCUGGGCCAUGUGAGCAUCUCACAGGGGAGGCUGGGGCAGUCCAGGCCGUUGGUAGAGGUUAGGGGGACAGCUUCCCUGGCUCUGGCCAGCCAACAUGUCCAAGAGAGGAGCUGCCCAGAGGUGGAGGGUGCCCCAUCCUCAGGGUGUCCUAGGGGAGGCCAGCUGGGCUUCAACCCCAGCACAGAGAUAGAGUGUGAGUGGGGAAACUGAGUCAGAAACCUAUGAAGAAGGGAGCCAGGGACAGGGUGCUCCUGUUGCUCUUCCAAUGCUGGGUUCCACCGACUGGGAAAGGAAGCAGAGACUUCAUUUCUUAUCUCUGCCCCGUACCCUGGGCAGAACCGAAACUCCAUGUGGGGAACUUGGGGCAGACAGGAGUGGAUGUGGCUAAGGCCAGAGAUUCUAGGUCUGUCCUCCAGAGCUCAGGCUCUGCAACAAGGGGGAAUCAGGGACCCAGUGUGCUUCUUGUGGCCUCUUAGAGCUGAGGGUUGGACUGUAACACCAACACCUACCAAUCUCUCUUUUUAGCAAAGCAAGUCUAGGCUUGAGACCGACACCUUCAGCCAGUCAGAAUGUAAUCACAUUGUUCUGUUUUCACUGUAUCUAGUUUUAUAUUCUACAUCUGGUAAGUGACGCUGAAAUUUCCUUUAGUGAUUAGAUUUAACAUGUAGUGCAUCUAUUGAAAAGGCGUUACAGCCGUGCACAGUGGCUCAUACCUGUAAUCCCAACACUUGGGGAGGCUAAGGCUGGUGGAUCACUUGAGCCCAGGAGUUUGAGACCAGCCUGGGCAAUACAAAAAUUAGCCAGGCCUGGUGGCACAUAUCUGUAGUCCCAGUCACUCAGGAGGCUGAGGUGGGAGGAUCACCUGUUUAGGGAGGUUGAGGCUGCAAUGAGCCAUGAUUGCACCAUUGCACUUCAGCCUGGGUGUCAGGAAGAGACCCUGUCUCAAAAAAAAAAAAAAAAGGGGGAUUAUAUGGAGUAACAAAAGCUAAUUUAAAAUAAAAUAUAUCACCUGUGACUCAAGUCUUGAAAAAAGUAUUAUAUAAAGUACAAGAACAGGGAGAAGCUCUAAUGUGGGCAUAGGAAUGCCAGGAGUUUGGAAAGGAAUUAACUAUCUAAAUAUCGCCCUGUGGAAAGGCAAGUGCAUGAGCCUGUGGAGGGUGUGAGUGGAGGUGAGGUGGAGGGCGUGCAGGCUGGUGGCAGGACAGGCCCAGGACCAGCUUUGCCCCUGCUCUGUGCUGUCUCCACUCCUGAGUGGUUUGGCACUCACGCCGGCCCACAUCUGCUUUCCUCCCCUUCCUGGUUGUAGCACACGGCUCAUCACUCCUGACCCAUAGAAACACCAGCCUCUUGUGCUCCUUGGAGGAAGUGGCUCUGGAGGAUGGCUGUUAACCUCCAAAAUGCCCCACCGGGCUCCAAAGUGAACUCUUGAGUUUAAAUGGGAGAGUCCUGAAGAUGUUCUCCAGCUUUGGCACCCAGAUAGAUGCCUUCAGCAAUGCUGGUGCAGUUAAAUGGUUAGACAGUGCACGGUCCCUACGAGGAUAUCCCGUCAUAACCGGGCGCCCUUGUGUCUGCUGAGAUGGUACACAGGCGCAUUUGGACUUGCUCAGGGUGUGGCCAGGAGCCCCAGGUCAGCAAGGCGUGUUCAUACUGGGGAGCUCAGGCAGGGUUCACAGCGGCAGCUCAAUGAGUACUGGGUGGGCUCCUGUCUUGCCCAUGGUGCACAGCACGUGUGUGAGCUUUGUAUGGGGGCAGUGAUGGGGUUAACAGUCUGAGCAGGGUGAAGAGGCCGAAGAAGAGGAGGAUCUGAUGCCCAGAUGCUAAGUUCUGGGCCCAAUGCUAUGGCGGCCCCAAGCCUGUCCAGGCAAGAGCUGCACUGUGGGAUUCUGCUGCUGAUGCCUGAGGCUGGGCUGAGGUAACCUGGUCCCCCACAGGGACUGAAGCUCUAGGAGCUCCUCAGCCCUGUCCAACAGGCAAUAAGGAAUAUACCACCUACCAAAUUUGUGGGACAAAGCUAAAGAGGUGGGUAUUCUGAAGAAAAUGUAUAGCUUUAGGUUCAUCAUAAGGGAAAAGAGAAAACACUAUGCAUUCCACUGAGGUGUAAAAAAAUAGCAACAGAACAAAUCCAUGGAAAUAAAAUGAAGGGACAAAAUACAAAAGCAGAA
rnacentral:lncRNA from 1 species